AUUGAACGCUGGCGGCGUGCCUAACACAUGCAAGUCGAGCGGUAACAGGUGUAGCAAUACAUGCUGACGAGCGGCGAACGGGUGAGUAAUGCUUCGGAAUCUGCCUAGUAGUGGGGGAUAACUAACCGAAAGGUUAGCUAAUGCCGCAUACGACCUAUGGGUGAAAGCGGGGGAUCGUAAGACCUCGCGCUAUUAGAUGAGCCGAAGUCGGAUUAGCUAGUUGGUGAGGUAACGGCUCACCAAGGCGACAAUCCGUAGCUGGUCUGAGAGGACGACCAGCCACACUGGGACUGAGACACGGCCCAGACUCCUACGGGAGGCAGCAGUGGGGAAUAUUGGACAAUGGGGGAAACCCUGAUCCAGCGACGCCGCGUGUGUGAAGAAGGCCUGCGGGUUGUAAAGCACUUUUAGUGGGGACAAAAAGCUACGGACUAAUACUCUGUGGUCUUGAUUUAACCCAAAGAAAAAGCACCGGCUAACUCUGUGCCAGCAGCCGCGGUAAUACAGAGGGUGCGAGCGUUAAUCGGAAUUACUGGGCGUAAAGCGUGCGUAGACGGUUUUGUAAGUCGGAUGUGAAAUCCCCGGGCUCAACCUGGGAAUUGCAUUCGAAACUGCCA
rnacentral:rRNA from 1 species